rnacentral:rRNA from 1 species
GAGUUUGAUCUUGGCUCAGGAUGAACGCUGGCGGCGUGCCUAACACAUGCAAGUCGAACGGGUGUACAGAAGGGAAGAUUACGGUCGGAAGAUCUGUGCAUGAGUGGCGGACGGGUGAGUAACGCGUGGGCAACCUGGCCUGUACAGGGGGAUAACACUUAGAAAUAGGUGCUAAUACCGCAUAACGGGGGAAGCCGCAUGGCUUUUUCCUGAAAACUCCGGUGGUACAGGAUGGGCCCGCGUCUGAUUAGCCAGUUGGCAGGGUAACGGGCCUACCAAAGCGACGAUCUAGUAGCCGGCCUGAGAGGGCGGACGGCCACACUGGGACUGAGACACGGCCCAGACUCCUACGGGAGGCAGCAGUGGGGGAUAUUGCACAAUGGGGGAAACCCUGAUGCAGCGACGCCGCGUGGUGAAGAAGCG